rnacentral:lncRNA from 1 species
CUUAUUCAAAGAAUGACUGCAAAGAUGAGAAUAAAAUAACGCAUAUUCCGCAAAAUUAGAAACAAACUUAUUAAAAAUUCAUAAAUACUCGGUAUAUGAAAAGUAUGCUGCAUACAUAUGCAUGGAAGAUAUUGUAGAGAAAAAUAUUGAAGGUACUAAACAAGGAACAUUUUUGUAUUUGCAUACUUGCCAUAUAAUUAGUACUUUUCUAUUAAAUGAAAACAUAAAUUAGCCUUUCCUAAUUUUCAUGCAUUUUUCUGAAGCACAAACAUAAAAUCUAUUUUUACCAGUUCCGACUGUGAUAAUCUACAUGUUUGGCCCUUUGAUGUAAUUUAUCAAUAUACAUAUUUGUGUUUUUUUUCGUCUGUCAAAUGCUUCGUAAGACUAUAGGUAAGGCUAAUAAAAACAAAAAAUAAAAGUAACAAUAAACAAAAGUAACAAUAAACAAAAGUAACAAAAAACAAAAGUGACAAUAAACAAUAGUAACAAUAAACUGGUAACUAUUCUAGAUCCUUUACCAUCCACACUGUUUAAAGAAACGUCCUAAAAUACAUGGGAAUUUGAUCAAAACAUUUGAAUUUAAUUUUUAAAAUCAUAUAUCAGUAUAAAAUAGAAAAAAGUGAAUCCAAAGGAAAAAUAUGGACGGCUGAAUUUAUUGAUAAGAACUAAAUCAUCAGCGUAUAACAGAUAUGAUAUAUCAUUAUCAUUUAACUUGGGUGGUUCACAUGUUGAGUCAAAAAUAGAUGGUAAAUCAUUAAUAUAUAAAGAAAAUAAUGUAGGGCUUAAAAUACACCCUUGUUUUACCCCAACUGAGGAAUUAAAAAAAUCAGUGAUACCUUCCGAGAUCUUUACCAAGUACAAAACCUCUUUAUACAUAUCUUUCAUUAUAC